rnacentral:rRNA from 1 species
GGAGUUUGAUCCUGGCUCAGAAUGAACGCUGGCGGCAUGGAUUAGGCAUGCAAGUCGAACGGAGACCCGGGCUUCGGCCUGGCGAUCAGUGGCGAAAGGGUGAGUAACACGUGAGCAACCUGCCCCUGAAUCUGGGAUAGCCCCGGGAAACUGGGAUUAAUACCGGAUGCGGUUUUCCGUCGCAUGGCGGAAGGACCAAAGAUUUAUUGUUCAGGGAUGGGCUCGCGUCCCAUUAGCUUGUUGGUGAGGUAACGGCUCACCAAGGCUGUGACGGGUAGCUGGUCUGAGAGGAUGGUCAGCCACACUGGGACUGAGACACUGCCCAGACUCCUACGGGAGGCUGCAGUCGAGAAUCAUCCGCAAUGGGCGAAAGCCUGACGGUGCAAUGCCGCGUGAGGGAUGACGGCCUUCGGGUUGUAAACCUCUGUCAGGAGGGACGAAGAAGUAACGGUACCUCCAGAGGAAGCCACGGCUAACUACGUGCCAGCAGCCGCGGUAAUACGUAGGUGGCGAGCGUUAUUCGGAUUUACUGGGCGUAAAGGGUCCGCAGGGGGGUUGCCAAGUCUGAUGUGAAAUCCCAAGGCUCAACUUUGGAACUGCAUUGGAUACUGGCGAACUAGAGUGCACGAGGGGUGAGCAGAAUUCCAGGUGUAGCGGUGGAAUGCGUAGAUACCUGGAAGAAUACCGAUGGCGAAGGCGGCUCACUGGCGUGCUACUGACCCUCAUGGACGAAAGCAUGGGUAGCGAACAGGAUUAGAUACCCUGGUAGUCCACGCUGUAAACGUUGUGCACUAGAUGUGGGCGGUUUUGAUCCCGUCCGUGUCCCAGCUAACGCGAUAAGUGCACCGCCUGGGGAUUACGGCCGCAAGGCUAAAACUCAAAGGAAUUGACGGGGGCCCGCACAAGCGGUGGAGCAUGUGGCUUAAUUCGAGGCAACGCGAAGAACCUUACCUGGGUUUGACAUAUACCGGACCGGCCGUGAAAGUGGUCUUCUCUUCGGAGUCGGUAUACAGGUGCUGCAUGGCUGUCGUCAGCUCGUGUCGUGAGAUGUUCGGUUAAGUCCGGCAACGAGCGCAACCCGUGUCGUCAGUUGCUAACAGGUAAUGCUGAGGACUCUGGCGAGACUGCCCGUGUCAAGCGGGAGGAAGGCGCGGACGACGUCAAGUCCGUAUGGCCCUUACAUCCAGGGCUGCACACGUGCUACAAUGGUCGGUACAAUGAGAUGCGAAACCGCGAGGUGGAGCAAAUCUGCAAAACCGGCCCCAGUUCGGAUUGGAGUCUGCAACUCGACUCCAUGAAGUCGGAAUCGCUAGUAAAGGGGUAUCAGCAACGGCCCCUUGAAUACGUUCCCGGGCCUUGUACACACCGCCCGUCACAUCAUGGAAGCUGGCUGCACCCGAAGUCGUUGACCUAACCCCUCGGGGAAGGAGACGCCGAAGGUGUGUCCAGUGACUGGGAUGAAGUCGGAACAAGGUA